rnacentral:rRNA from 1 species
AUUGAACGCUGGCGGCAUGCUUUACACAUGCAAGUCGAACGGUAACAGGUUAAGCUGACGAGUGGCGAACGGGUGAGUAAUGCAUCGGAACGUGCCCGGUCGUGGGGGAUAACGCAGCGAAAGUUGCGCUAAUACCGCAUACGAUCUGAGGAUGAAAGCGGGGGACCGUAAGGCCUCGCGCGAUCGGAGCGGCCGAUGUCAGAUUAGGAAGUUGGUGGGGUAAAGGCUCACCAAGCCAACGAUCUGUAGCUGGUCUGAGAGGACGACCAGCCGCAUUGGGACUGAGACCCGGCCCAGACUCCUACGGGAGGCAGCAGUGGGGAAUUUUGGACAAUGGGCGAAAGCCUGAUCCAGCGAUGCCGCGUGCAGGAAGAAGGCCUUCGGGUUGUAAACUGCUUUUGUACGGAGCGAAAAGGUCUCCUCUAAUACAGGGGGCUCAUGACGGUACCGUAAGAAUAAGCACCGGCUAACUACGUGCCAGCCGCCGCGGUAA